UUGCGUAGGUGGUUUUUCAAGCAGAAUAUGAAAGCGUACGGCUCAACCGUAUACACGUAUCCUGAACUGUUAAACUAGAGGGCGAGAGAGGUUUCUAGAAUUUCUUGUGUAGGAGUGAAAUCCGUAGAUAUAAGAAGGAAUACCGAUGGCGUAGGCAGGAAACUGGCUCGCACCUGACACUAAGGCACGAAAGCGUGGGUAGCAAACG
rnacentral:rRNA from 1 species